rnacentral:rRNA from 1 species
UGGGGAAUAUUGCACAAUGGGGGAAACCCUGAUGCAGCGACGCCGCGUGGAGGAAGAAGGUCUUCGGAUUGUAAACUCCUGUUGUUGAGGAAGAUAAUGACGGUACUCAACAAGGAAGUGACGGCUAACUACGUGCCAGCAGCCGCGGUAAUA